rnacentral:rRNA from 1 species
GAUGAACGCUGGCGGCGUGCCUAAUACAUGCAAGUCGAGCGAACAGACGAGGAGCUUGCUCCUCUGACGUUAGCGGCGGACGGGUGAGUAACACGUGGAUAACCUACCUAUAAGACUGGGAUAACUUCGGGAAACCGGAGCUAAUACCGGAUAAUAUAUAGAACCGCAUGGUUCAAUAGUGAAAGACGGUUUUGCUGUCACUUAUAGAUGGAUCCGCGCCGCAUUAGCUAGUUGGUAAGGUAACGGCUUACCAAGGCGACGAUGCGUAGCCGACCUGAGAGGGUGAUCGGCCACACUGGAACUGAGACACGGUCCAGACUCCUACGGGAGGCAGCAGUAGGGAAUCUUCCGCAAAGGGCGAAAGCCUGACGGAGCAACGCCGCGUGAGUGAUGAAGGUCUUCGGAUCGUAAAACUCUGUUAUUAGGGAAGAACAAAUGUGUAAGUAACUAUACACGUCUUGACGGUACCUAAUCAGAAAGCCACGGCUAACUACGUG